rnacentral:rRNA from 1 species
GACGAACGCUGGCGGCGUGCUUAACACAUGCAAGUCGAACGGAAAGGCCCUGCUUUUGUGGGGUGCUCGAGUUGCGAACGGGUGAGUAACACGUGAGUAACCUGCCCUUGACUUUGGGAUAACUUCAGGAAACUGGGGCUAAUACCGGCUAGGAUCUCCUGCUGCAUGGUGGGGGUUGGAAAGUUUCGGCGGUUGGGGAUGGACUCGCGGCUUAUCAGCUUGUUGGUGGGGUAGUGGCUUACCAAGGCUUUGACGGGUAGCCGGCCUGAGAGGGUGACCGGCCACAUUGGGACUGAGAUACGGCCCAGACCCCUACGGGAGGCAGCAGUGGGGAAUAUUGCACAAUGGGCGGAAGCCUGAUGCAGCAACGCCGCGUGCGGGAUGACGGCCUUCGGGUUGUAAACCGCUUUCGCCUGUGACGAAGCGUGAGUGACGGUAAUGGGUAAAGAAGCACCGGCUAACUACGUG